CUCGCGAAAAAGUUUGCCCCUAGAGUAGUUUGCAUCGUCGAAACCCAGAUUAGCGGGAAGAGAGCGAAGAAGUUAAGAAGUACUUCAGGCUAUGAUAAUUCAUUUGCUGUAAGCUCCUCUGGGAGAAGUGGAGGAUUGGCAAUUUUCUGGAAUGAUGAAAUAAAGAUUGACAUUUUAGGUUACUUGAGAUAUCACAUAGAUGUUAAAAUUAGCAUGCUUGGGGGUGACCCGUGGAGACUCUCUUGCUUCUACGGGGAGGCCCAAACUCAUUUACGCCAUCAGACGUGGAACACGAUGACGAACCUUGCAGCCCUACAGGAUCUGCCUUGGGUUUGCAUGGGAGAUUUUAACGAGGUUCUAAAGCAGGACGAGCAUGAUGGAAUUGGCUCUAGGAGUCAAUCACAGAUUUAA
rnacentral:rRNA from 1 species